rnacentral:rRNA from 1 species
UACGGGGGGAGCAAGCGUUGCUCGGAAUCACUGGGCGUAAAGCGCACGUAGGCGGAUUGUUAAGUCAGGGGUGAAAUCCUGGAGCUCAACUCCAGAACUGCCUUUGAUACUGGCGAUCUCGAGUCCGGGAGAGGUGAGUGGAACUCCGAGUGUAGAGGUGAAAUUCGUAGAUAUUCGGAAGAACACCAGUGGCGAAGGCGGCUCACUGGCCCGGUACUGACGCUGAUGUGCGAAAGCGUGGGGAGCAAACAGG